AUGCGAGUUGUCACUCACCUCACACGCCCCAGCAAGCAUCCAGGAGAGCCUGCCUCUUGGAAUAGAAAUCAGACAUCCCACAGGAACUCUGAGGUUUUCCCACUGCUGCCAGAUGUAUGCAAGGAACACGUGAUCUUCGUAAUUCCAGAGCGGGGCAAACUGCUUGGCACCUCUUCAAUAGGUGACAUUCAAUGAUAGAUCUCUGGCUUCCUGCUCUGUUUGUUCUGGUUGCCCUGGAAAGCCUGCUGCUCAGCCCAUGCCCCGGGACUUCCUCCACCCUCACCAGGACAUUCUUUCCAUCUCUUGUCUCCUGUGUGCAAGUCCCUUUCUCCUGGAUUCCAUGUCUUGAAUGUUUCUUAAUUUACUUCCUCAUUUUGGCAGAGGAUGUCCUCCAGUUGUUUUCUGGGAAUGCUAAUAUGCAAGUGAACCAGUGACCUGCAGUUCUGCCCACACAGGGUUAAUAACCAAUCAGAUUCUCUCUUUUCAAGAUGGUUAACAUAACAGACACCAAGAAAGGGAAGAGGAGCCGACAGCAGAGGGGGAAGCUGAAAAGACGCACAAAGAAUGGCCAUAAAAGAUAUGAGCAACCCCAGCUUUCCAGACAGUCACUUUUCCCAGUGGUCAUACCUGGUCUGGAAGAUUCCCCAUCAUCUCGAAUAAAGCUGUUGUUGCUUUUAACUCCAUGGAGAGACCGAAUGGAGUGAGCCCAGCAGGGCAUGCUGGGCAAGAGAGGUCCCCCGAGUCCCAAAUAAGAAUUUCAACUAGUAUAAAACGAGGCAGCGAACCCACACGUGGAAGUCUGAUACCGCUUGCAGAAGGGAAUUGAAUAGAUGUCUCCCUAUUGGUAAGGAUGUGGUUUUAUUGACUUGAAAUAACAAAGCCCGCAAGCAACAACUGAUCAUCCGCGGGAUGCUGCCACAAGGAAUAAUUGAGCACUCAUUCAGACACAGGGGAAACCACUGCCUCUUUCAGUCUUUCUCCCAGAUUCCAACAGUCAGUGUUACAGCAUUUCACCUUGUUCACCUCCCUGAGAAGACGUUGCAGCUCACUCACCCCAGUGGGCACUGGGAGCCUCUGCUCAGGUGGGAGACAGAUGCCCCCCACAUGCACAUCUGGUGUUUAUGAAGCAGAUACUGGGGCUUCAUAAACACAGAAGGGGCAGGGAAGUAGCCCCAGGGCAUAGUGUGGGGCCUCCUGACUAAAAGUAGCUUGCAAACCCCUGCCUAUAACAGCCACUUCCUGGCAGUCAUUGUGCCACUUAGGAGCCCUCCUCACCGCUCUUCCUUUAGUUCCUUCACUCUGUAUAGACCCUGCCAGAGCAGCUCAGGGUGGAGCAGCUGCAGCCAUGGGACCUGCUCCAGGCAAGGCCCUAUGCUACACAGUCCCUGGGGGUGAGGAUUCCAGAGGAGUCAAUUCCCUACCCGCCCUUCCAGGGGAUGGCCGAGAUGAGCGUUCCCACAGGGAAAGUGAAAGUUGCAAGGCUGUUGCGGAAACACCAGGGGUUCCAUCUAGGUCUUGCUGCUCAUCUCACAGAAAGCCAGUCACUGAGACAAGUAUUGUCAGGGAAGAAGGCUUUAUCCAGGUGCUACAGACAGGGUGAACAAGAGAUCAGUCUCAAAUCCAUCAUCAUCAACUGACUAAAAUUAGGGGUUUAUAUAGCAGGGAAGAAAUGUAACUACAUGUGGGAAAACAGGGAUUAACGAG
rnacentral:lncRNA from 1 species